rnacentral:ncRNA from 1 species
GGGUCUAGGGUUAUCCCCUAGAGGUUGUUUUGAUGGUCGGGCCGCCAUCU